UAGGUGGCCAGGGACAGAGAGUCUGAAA
rnacentral:piRNA from 1 species